rnacentral:tRNA from 1 species
GCGGUUUUAGCUCAGCUGGAUAGAGCAACUGCCUUCUAAGCAGUAGGCCGGGGGUUCGAGUCCCUUAAACCGCGCCA